GGCGUUACCUCAAGAAGGGCCGCUACGCCCAGCGCGUCGGCUCCGGCGCCCCCGUCUACCUUGCCGCCGUCCUCGAGUACCUGGCCGCCGAGGUAUGCGCCGAUCUCUCCCCUCCUCGAGCCUCUGUUCUUCCCUCCUCUUGUCCCGAUUGACUGAUUUCGUUGGCUUUUGAACGCGCAGGUCCUGGAGCUUGCCGGCAACGCGGCCAAGGACAACAAGAAGACCCGCAUCAUCCCGCGCCACCUGCUUCUCGCCGUCCGCAACGACCAGGAGCUCGGCAAGCUGCUCGCCGGCGUGACCAUCGCCCACGGCGGCGUCAUCCCCAACAUCAACUCUGUGCUGCUCCCCAAGAAGUCCCCGGCCGCCGCCGAGAAGGAGGCCAAGUCGCCCAAGAAGAAGACGGCCACCAAGUCCCCCAAGAAGAAGGUCGCUGCCACCAAGGAAUAGCCGCCCCCAUAACCUAGUUGGUGUUGCUUAGAUCCAUUUCUCAUGGACUAAGAUGAGAUCCUGCAUGUAAUGCCUGCUAGUCUUUAGUGUCUGUCAGAUUCGUCGAGCAAGGAUGACAUUGUACCUGUGAUUUCUGUGAGGAU
rnacentral:lncRNA from 1 species